CCCAAAACCAGCCGUGGAGCGAUGUCGUUCUUCCCCAACGCGCAGAAGCCCCUGGCAGUCGCUCCCUUCUUCCAUUUCCUGGCCACCAGGCUUCUCACGUACGCCACCCCUGCCAACAGGCGAGCAGAGCCGCCGAGUGGCCGCUCGGCCUGGGCACCGCCUGGCUGGCCAGUGGAUGGCUGCCGCCCCGUCCCAACCAAUGGAGUACCAGCGACGUUUCGUUAAAUCCCAGCCAGCCACUCUUCUCCCUACGCAAUCCCUCUCUCCCACACGGCGGCAGGCAGCGACUCCAUCUCCCUGGCUCCUCGGACACCGAAGCUCCAUGGCCGCCCAGCUCCUUCCCUAGCCGAGCUAUGGCUUCUCCCAUGGCGCCACCCUUUCCCUCGGCGCCCUUCUUCCCCAGGCCGGUGUGCAGGCCCUCUUCCUCCUCAUGCCGAGCGUCCCUGCGUCCCCUUCUCCCCCUCUGCACCAUGGCUGGUUCCUUGUUCCCCUCAGAACCCAGCAGGGAGAGUAGGCGCCCCUUCCCCUAGCGGAUCCAUGAUGCUAGGAGGAUCUCCUCCUCGGCCGGCGCUCCAACCCGGCGUCCAUGGCGUCGGUGCCCUCCCUCAGCAGUGCGCCGUCGACCCGCUCCACUCGCCGGCCAACAUCUUCCACAGGACGUCGACGAGCUUUCCCACCUCCAAUGUCGGGACCGCGCGCGAGCAUAAGCUCAGGGCCCCGCUCGGCCCUCUCGUUCGCGCGCAGGGUGCCCCUGCUUCCCCAUGGCCGAGCUCAACCUGCUAGGACAAGCUGCAAGCCCCUCUGCUCCUACUCGUCCAUGGCGCCCUGGAACUUCUCGUCCAGAGUCUUGCCCCUCCUUGCUCUUGUCGAAGCCGACGUCCCCUGCUCCUCCAUGGCGGCGAGUCGGUGCAGGCAACUACUCCCAUGACGCCUCUGCUCCAGCCAUGGCGGAGACUUUCUCUGGUCCAAGCUCGAGCAGGUGGCCCACCGUCGCCCAUGGCCAACCUCGCCACUCCCCCUCAGCUCCGAUGGUUGGUGCUCGCAGAGCUCUUCUAGGGUGUUGCCCUCCCUGCUCCAUGGCUCAAGCCUGAGCUCACCCCAUGGGCGCGCCCCUUCUCCACGGCGUUCUGCAGUAGGGAGCUCUUCUCCCCGGUGCGCAGAAGCUUCUCCAUGGGCAUGCCAUCCCUGCUGUUCCCUGCGCCCUACUUUUCCAUGGAAAUCAGCAGGAGCAAUGCCGCCUAGCUCUAGGCCCCUGCUCCUCCUCUCUUCCCCACAAAACAGCAGCCGCAGCGAGCUCGCCGUCAACCUCGCGCAGCAGCCACGACGCUAGUUCGCGCAGCCACAUGGGUUCUCGCUGUGUCGCGCCCUCGGCGUGCUCGAUGAAAUGCCGCAGCAGCAGCAGCGACGCCCUUCGCUGCGUCGCGCUCGCCAGGACGGGCCUCACGCUAUUGAUCUGCGCAGCAUUUGCGCGUCGUCGUCGAAACCCGCGGUGAGCUCCUCGCUGUCCUGUGUUCCCUGAUUUUAUAAAAUAACUGAACUAAUAAAGCUGUGAAAUAAUUGUGUA